rnacentral:tRNA from 1 species
CUGGAGUUGUAGCUCAGGGGUAGAGUGCUUGCCUAGCACAUACAAAGGCCCUGGGUUCAAUCCUCAGUACUAGA